rnacentral:rRNA from 1 species
UACGUAGGGCGCAAGCGUUGUCCGGAAUUAUUGGGCGUAAAGAGCUCGUAGGCGGUUUGUCGCGUCUGCUGUGAAAACUCGAGGCUCAACCUCGGGCUUGCAGUGGGUACGGGCAGACUAGAGUGCGGUAGGGGAGACUGGAAUUCCUGGUGUAGCGGUGGAAUGCGCAGAUAUCAGGAGGAACACCGAUGGCGAAGGCAGGUCUCUGGGCCGCAACUGACGCUGAGGAGCGAAAGCAUGGGGAGCGAACAGG